ensembl:miRNA
GGCAGUUUUUAAUGAUGUUACUUCUUUUUACUCAUAGAAGACAUCAGAUAAAUCUGUGCUU